rnacentral:lncRNA from 1 species
CACAAAUGGAUCAGCCAAAGGGACUCCAUUUCCCUUGCCCCGUGUACACUAGCUUCCCAUUCAUUUUCAAUGGAAGGAAAGCGGUGAGAAGCGGAGAGGGCGUGGGACCUUUGGGCGGUGCAAACGUGGCGUGUAGCAAGCGGUAAAUUGCUGUGUGCUGCUAAGGCCGCCAAUUGUAACUCCUUUGUGGGCGUGCUGGCAGCAUAUAGCAGCAUUUGUAUGUAGGCCUGGUUAUUACAUCGGUAAAUAGUAAUAUGCUCUAAAACACUCUGGUGACAAACAAACUUUGCUGCCCUGAUCACAAUUGUCCACAUGACUGGGAGAACUUAUUCAAGUUUUCUGUCCUCAGAUAAAGAGAGCUAUGAAAGCCUGUCUACAGAUGAAGAGGUCCCAAUGAAGAGCAGUGGUUCUCAGUCCUGGGGACUCAAAGGGAUUCCUUGUAACUGGAGAUUCUUUCAAAACGAUUGGCUACAGUUACUGUGUAGGGCACUGCAAGGUUGGGUGACCAGGGCCAUCUGGGACUGCCUCCUGGAGGAAUUCAGGCGUGUGAAGGCUACUUGUGUCCUGUAUAACUUCAUGAGGAUGGACAUGAGGAACAGGAUGGGAUCUGCAGCUCGCCGCUGUGUGCCAGAGGAGAAAGUCUGGUGCUCAGCAGGAUGUGUCAAGGAUGGGGUCCAACAACACAGCAAGAGAGGCAAUCUGUGUUAUCAGCUGUGUCGGUGAAUCCCUCCCGCAUCUGAACUGGCUACAUAGAGGGCACAGCAUGAUCAGAGGAAUGUUUUGAUGUAAGAGAGGAUGCUAACCCCCAGUCCCGUCAUCGCCACCUUACCCGUUCUUAAGAUAACCUUCGGGCUGACUAGAGAAACUAUUAUGUAACUGUGAUGAACUGAGAGAAUAUUAGGGUAGCACUGUGACUCAUUAAUCAUAUGCUGCCUUCCCUGCUCCUCUGUUCUUUCCCUUUCUGUCUUUUACACCUCUCUCGCCACCUCUUUCUUUCUCUGUUUUUAUAAUGCACAACAGCUGUGCAUUGAAGUAAAGAUUGAACUUGCAUUUAUAAUAUAUUACAAUUAUAAUAUUUAUAAUGCAUGUAUUUAUAACACUUGGAUAAUGAACUUCUUUCAAUAAAGCGUUUCACAUUCUCUACUG